GGAAAAUGCCAAACAGGAGAGCUGGUCGUUAAACGCCGCUGGAUUGGAAAAUGGCGUCCAUGCACUUACUGGUUAUACCUGGAUAUAAGAUUUUACCUGUUCUCCCUGUGAAGUGGCAACCUGGUAGUCUACUGACGGCCCAAGUUAUUUUGCUGCUACGGAUAUUAUAGAAUGGAUUUUUCAUGCUUUUGAUAAAGAAAUUGUGACGCGUAC